AUUGAACGCUGGCGGCAUGCCUUACACAUGCAAGUCGAACGGCAGCAUGAUCUAGUUUGCUAGAUUGAUGGCGAGUGGCGAACGGGUGAGAAAUACAUCGGAACGUGCUCUGUAGCGGGGGAUAACUAGUCGAAAGAUUAGCCAAUACCGCAUACGACCUGAGGGGGAAAGUGGGGGAGCGCAAGGCCUCAUGCUAUAGGAGCGGCCGAUGUCUGAUUAGCUAGUUGGUGAGGUAAAGGCUCACCAAGGCGACGAUCAGUAGCUGGUCUGAGAGGACGAUCGGCCACACUGGGACUGAGACACGGUCCAGACUCCUACGGGAGGCAGCAGUAGGGAAUUUUGGACAAUGGGCGAAAGCCUGAUCCAGCAAUGCCGCGUGUGUGAAGAAGGCCUUCGGAUUGUAAAGCACUUUUAUCCGGGAAGAAAUGACUUGGGUUAAUACCUGGAGUCGUUGACGGUACCGGAAGAGAAAGGCCCGGCUAACUACGUG
rnacentral:rRNA from 1 species